AAGUCGUAACAAGGUCUCCGUUGGUGAACCAGCGGAGGGAUCAUUACAGAGUUGCAAAACUCCCAACCCUUUGUGAACGAACCUACCAGUUGCUUCGGCGGCAGACCCCUCUGGGGCCUAGCCUUUACGGGUACCCCGCCGGCUUCAAAAUAUUUUAAAAAAUACAAACCAUUUCAGUGGAUCCCUUGGCUCGUG
rnacentral:misc_RNA from 1 species